rnacentral:rRNA from 1 species
AUACGGAAGGUGCGAAGCGUUAGUCGGAAUUACUGGGCGUAAAGGGUGCGUAGGCGGGGAUGAACGUCAGACGUGAAAUUUCGGGGCUUAACCCCGAAGCGGCUUCUGAAACGGCAUCUCUUGAGGAAUGGCGGAGAGAAUGGAAUUCCAUGUGUAGCGGUGAAAUGCGUAGAUAUAUGGAAGAACACCGGUGGCGAAAGCGAUUCUCUAGCCUCCUCCUGACGCUGAGGCACGAGAGCAAGGGGAGC